GGCUGGUCUGAGGGUAGUGAUUUAUCUCCAUUGACUUGUUCACAGUAACUUACAGAUCGAACUCCUUGCUCUGCUCUUAUCCCCCUUCUCACUACUGCACUUGACAAGUCUUAA
rnacentral:Y_RNA from 1 species